GGUAUUUUGUUAAAAAAAAAUUGGCGGUCUCGUUGGGUUAAAAAUUGUGCAAAUGUUAUCGACAAGUAAUUAACAGUGCGCCCAAAUGGAUCGCUUAUUUAUUCGGGAUUGCAACGAGUAAUAUGAGUGAGUGAAUGCAAAAUUACUAAAAGUUUUCAGUAACGUUUCCCUCGGGAAAGAAUGUAAAAACCAUGGCUCAAAUAUCGAUACAAUAUUACAUCGAUGCAUCGAAACCAAAGUGACGGUGUGCAAUAAAUGUUGAAUAAAGUUUGUUGAAAUCUGUUUGUACUAAUGUAUCGGGUCAGGUGUAUCGAUGUCUUCUGCACUCGAUAUAUUGUUUGCAUACCUACUUGCAAGGCAAGAAGCUGUGCCUUGAAUGUAUGCAGUGGAGUGCAGCCCCUCCAACUCGAGUUCUCGUUGCAACGUUCUCCGGUUUCCUCAAUCACGUUUUUUUCUCGUGUGCUGAAUAAUACAUUUAAACUGAGACCAUUUCAAAGAAUGCUAACUUUAUUUCAUGACUACUUACGAUAAGAAUGAACCACUGCAAAGCCAUGAAGAUGAGUUUCUCUUUGUCAUCGCUACAACCGCUGAGCCUUGGCUUAGAAAAGCAUGGCCAAGCAGGUGUAGCGAUAGAAAGGCCAUACAACAGUCUCACCAAAAAACGGAAAGAUCCAAAGCAGUUUCACAAUCAACGUUUAUGGGCAAAUCGUGAGGAUUGCAAAGAUGAAUUUUGGGCAGCUAUACGAUCUAAUUAUGAUUAUAUUAUGGACACAAAUUUAAUAGAUAGUUGUAAGGAAGCUAAUGGUGAAUUAACGUGGGACGAGACUGAUGUAUCUACACAAUCAUGGAGUUUCAAAGAAGUCAGUAGUCAAUUCUCAGAACUAUAUUCAUGGCUAAGGGUUCUUCAAGAACUAGUUUAUUGCAAAGAAGAGAAUUUGUUAGAUAAAAGUCUGCGUGCGGCUCACAUGGAGGAGCUGCGACGUAGGGCAUAUAGAAGAAAGUUAUUCAAUGAACAAGCUGGAAAAUUAGUGUCACAUGCCCCUGCUUUGAAAGAUGAAGUGGCGUGGCGUGUAGACCAUUUAAAUGCAAAAUGGGAAUUAGUUGAACAAAUUAUGGCACCUAUUGAGCGGCCUGUAUCUAAUCAGCAGGAUAUAUCGGCAGAUUUUGAACACGAAGUAAAAUGUUUGAGGAAAUGGCUUCGUGAAAUGGAAUCACGUCUUCAACCUUUAAGUUUUCACAUAGAUUGGACUUUGGCAGAACUCGAGGAAAAAGCAGUGGAGCAUAUGGUACUCCAACGAGAUAUAGAGGCGCAUGGUCGAAUCGUCAGUUCGGUCGUGAAAUUGGGCGACAAGGUAUUUACUCAGCAACAGGAGCAGCAACAGCAGCAGCAGGAAGGACAGGAGGAAAAGAAGCAACAGGAGCAACAGGAACAACGGGAACCGCCACAGGCUUUACGAAUAGCCAGGUCUCUCGAACGUCGAUGGCAUUUGCUGUUUCUACGAGCUUUGGAAUGGCAGUGUCACAUCGAAACUCUCGUGUCUCGCAUAAGCAGCAAGAACUUGGUGCCUUACCGCUGCAGUAGCGACAGCGACGAGGAGCCAGUCACGAAGCAGCCUCGACUGAGCCGCAGACACUCGCGGGGUUCUGGAAGGGAAUCCCCGGGUCAGUCGGUACGUUCGACGCGCUCGAAACGCCACAGAGCCACGAGAUCGCGAUACUACGAGGAUUCAGCCACGAGCAGAGCGGACCUGUCCGACACCGACGCGUCUUCCGAGAUUCGAUCGAUCGGCGAUGGAUCCUACUUCGAGGAUGAAUUAUGUCCGCUGUACGUGAUGGACGGAAAGUCCGAGGGAACGGAAAAUCCCCGAGAAGCUAAUCGAAUCGCGAACACGUUAGGCGACCAGGGUGAAGAGGGUGACAUCGAGGAAGGCGCUUUAAGCGAGGACGAAGAGGACGACAUGCCACCGACACCUGACACAGUACCGAUGACAAAUUCGACGGCCAUCGUGGAGAGCUGCGAUCAGAUCGACGGUCAGCCCGGGAACGUUGAACAGUCCAACGGGAAUUUAGCCGCUAACGAGCCAGCGAAACGUCGCAGAACCACUGAGGAGGUCGCCUCUUUUAACACGUCCGACAGGAAAUCGAAGAAUUGCGCGACCUUCUACUUCCGCCACCUGGACACCGACUCGGAGCAGAACGAGGAGGCGGCGAUCGUGGCGGAGGACUCGUCCGAGGAGGAGUGGACGUACACGUCGUCCCGGACGACCAACGUAACGACGGAGGAACGCAAGACGAACGUGGUGGUGCGUCUGGACUUUGGCGAGGGGCAGAGCGAAUCGCGGCCCAACGAGGGAAACGCGAAAACGAGCGAGAUGAAGCCCGUUAAAGAGACGUCCAAUAUGGAGGGUGUCGACGAGACUUCAAACGAAACCGACGCGUCUUCACACCGCGAGAAAGACAGUGACGACGAAACGAGAAACGACAAGACGAGCAUCCAGAGGCUCAUCAAGGAGGUAGAGAAAUUGGUCGGGGAGGAAAGGCGUAACGGCGCGUCCAAAACCUUCCCGCAGCUGAUUCUCGAUGAUAAGGGUAUAUCGAAUAAUCAUCGCGCCAAGUACGCGAGGAUCAAGGAGUGGUUGAAACUCAACUCCGCUCGGAGCCACGAGGGACGAUCGACGUCACAGCCGUUGGAUAGCUGCGAUGCCAGCGGCGAGUACACGACAGAAGAAUCGGAUGGGGAGAGGCAGUCGGUUUCAUCGGAGGAUCUGCAGAGCAGCGUUGCGACGUAUCGACGAUUCGAAGGUGCACUCGGCUGCACGUCUCAGUCGGUGUCGCAAGAGAUCUUCGACGACGCCGACAAGACGCCGAUCAACGAGGCGCAUCCGAUGCUGGACACGAGCACGCCGAAAGUCGUGAUGCGCCCGAAGCAGAAAACCAACGGACCCAGGCCGUGGAGCGUCACUUGCAUCUCGCAGAUCGGCAACAAUUCCAAUUUGAAUCAGACCAACGACCCGAUCUCGCAGUUCUCCAUCAGCGAAACGGCGCUCCAUCAGCUAAUCGCUACUCCGCCGACCAAGUCCGUGUCCCUCGAUGCAACAGGAUCACGGAAAUCGUUCAACAACUCAACGUCCACGUUACUGGAGGAGUCGAUCAUCUGCCACGACGGCCGCGUGGUUCGUAACAGUUCGCUGCGCAGGAAAAAGAGCCGAUUGCGGAAGAAGAACCUGGGUCGUAAAAGUGACUCCAGCUCGGAAGGCGUGAACGCGAACCACUCCGCCGGAAGUGACGGCAGCUUGUCGAAUCAGCAACGAUCGCCACGGAAGAUGAGCGGAAGUCGCACGAUGCGCACCAUUUCGAGAGACUGUCACGGUCGUUUGACUACCCUGGUGAAAUCGGGCUCGUUCUCCGGGUGCACGGCCCAUCAGCAACUCUCGGCGGAGAGGACGAUCGUCAGCGAUCCGACACCGCCGUUCAGGUUACCCUGCUGUACUUCGGUGGCUUCCACGUCCGAGACAGAGGGCGAGGAGCAACGUAAUUGUACACGGGGCUGCUUCACGUACGAUGACAACCUGCUCGAUACCGUGUUAAGCAAUAAGGAGCUGUGUAAUCAGCAAUUGAACGUCGAUAGCGACAUCGAAAUGAACAGUCUCGGGAACAACUCGUUCUCCGAGCAGGCUUGGGAUAAUUAUCAGGAGAAAUAUAUGAGCGAGCCAUACAGUGAAGCGCCAGACGUAGAAACGGCACGAAGAUUAUUGGACUUUGGGGAUGAUUAUCGAAACUUCCUCGAUAGUCAGUCCGAUUGUGCCUCCAGUAUGAGCGCAGUACCUGCUAGUUCUCCACUGCCUAGAAGUCGUAUGCAUCAUGAAGUAACCGAUACCACGGAAGACAGCGAUGACAGUGACGUGGAAGAUAUCCGGAACGUAGUGGAGAAGUCGCAAGCUCAGUUCACGCUCGCAGAAAAUUUGUUCUCGAGGUCGAACAACGGCACGAUGCCGGAAGAUUGCACCGAAGUCGAGUGCGCGUGUAGAGAAAAUCUGCGAUGUCUGCACGCGUUACUGGAGUCUGUCAGCAAUUCGUUCCGAAGCGAAAAAUACGUGAAACAAGUUCGUGGUAUGUUGGAGAAAUGGGAGUCUUUAACGACUAGAGUAGAAGAAACGCAAAUGGCCACUGCGCUUCACCGGGAAUUAACUUCUCUUCGCACGGAAUUCAAAGCGGCACACGACAGACUCUUCUCAUACGAGAUCACCCUUGAGCAGCCUCACGUGUUGGACGAGCGAAUUAAUCGAAUCACGGCUGAACUGGCUGCGUUAAGGGAUCGCAAGGCGGCUAUGCUGGCGUUGAACGUCUCGACGCACAGACUGAUCACCGAUCUAGGUGGCUCCGCCUCGUUGAUCUUCACGGCGCUAAAGGACGGCGUGGCGGAUCUGUAUCGCGUCUGGGACGAGACUUUCCAAAAGGGCAAUCAACAAUUGUGCGCUCUGCAAGCUGUCCAGCAGUUCAGUAUACGCUUGGCGGAGCUUCAGUGCGCGUUGCGGAGGGAUAAGGACACCCUUGCAGUUUUGGACGUGGCCCUACAGGCUGGAGCCACUUCCGAGGUUGCUUCGUCUGUUCGUCACGUCGCCAGGCUAUUAUCCGAGAAACAAGACAUCAGUUGUCAGAACGGCACGGUGCUGAAAGACACGACAACGGAGGAAGUGAGCAGCGGGGCGACGACGAAAUUCGGCGACUCGUCGCCGAUCAGUCUGACGCAGGAAGGCGGCUCGCUGUCCGACAGCGGCAUCUCCGACAGCGGAAGCGAGCAGGAGCUGAGCGAACGGGAGCGAAGAUUGGCCGCCCUUCGUCGGCUCACCCGUAGCCUGGAGAGCCAGCUUGCGCCCGGAAGCGAGGCGCUCGUCGAGCUUCUGAAACGCGUCGAGGACGCGGAAACGGAGCUCCGGGACCUUCAGAAGCAGUGCAGGGAGCUGAUCGUACGCACCGCUGCCAGCGUCGAGGCGAGGGCCGUCAAACGGACGAGUAGUCAGGUCCACCAUUGUGCCGACAAGCGCAAGAAGCCAGGUGCCACAGAGAUGUCGAAGGACAGCGCCGAGGGGAGGAUGGCGUUGGUGAGAGCGAAGAGUGGCGCCACCGAUGGCGGCGACCCCGACAACGAGCCGGGACUUCCCCAUAGCUGGGUCUGGCGCGUGCUGAGGGCAGCACUGCCGUUCCAGUUGGCCCUGGUCGCCCUGUUCUGGGCCGCCUGUCUCCUCGAGCCUCAUUGCUGCGAGGCGGCCAACACGUUGAACCUCUCGCUCACCCCUCAGCUGCGCUACGUCAGGGGCCCUCCACCUGUGUGAGCGUCGCGGCGCCGAGCCUUUGUUGGAAAAGCCUGACGCGGAGACGCGUUCCAUGGAACCUCCAAGCAUGGAAGACAUCGUUGGAACCAGUCGAAACCUCAGUCACCGAGCACCGGUUGCUUCCAUUGCUCGCGCGUUUCAUCGCGCGAGCCAUUUUUAGUAAGUCGAUAGACUGUUGUUAGGUAACGAGAGCGCACGAUUUUCGGUGGAUUCGUGGACUCGAGAGUCGACGAGACGUCAACGAGCUUGCAGAAACGGGUCGACGAUCGCCGUUUCGGUUUUUCCAGAAAUUUGGGGAGUUCUUCGUGACAGAAAGGUAUCGAAUGUCUUGCGUCCGAAGUACAGUUUCGUUUGAUUCCAGCUUAUUCUGCGUCUCCAGUCUUUUUGGAUACCGUUAAAUCUAUCGGAAACUUGUUAAUUUAUCCGAGAAAUAUUCCGCCAGAGUGUGGAAUUAUUUUCAGUCUACCAUUACCACUAGUGCCUAUUGUAACUGUAACUUUUUUACAAGUCGCUCGUUUCGAUCCAUUUUGUGAACGAAUUUUAGGGAAAAGCGAAAAGCGAAGCCAAUUUUAGGGACUCGUUGACGCUCGAUCGAUUCUCGAGCUCGUCACGUUUUUCUGUAAUUUCUAUUCUUAUUUUUAUUUUUUUUUAACCCUUCCACUGCCAUAUGGAAUUUCGAGUGUUCAUUUUUCGAGUCGAUUAACUCGGAAGCUCAAGCUUAAGACGAGAUUGCAAUUUCGUCCACGCAAAGAGCUGUUCGGGCUAGUUCCUCUUUUCGUUUAACGCGUGAUCGUGUGAUAGGAAUUGCAACGAAUUGCGCUUCGCGGGGAAAAUCUGCGCUCGUUUGAAAUUGUGAUAUAAUAGAAAAUCGAAAAAAAGAGAAGUAGAAGAAAAGGAAGAAGAAGAAGAAGAAGAAGAAGGAGAGAAAGAAAAAGAUGGCGAAGGAGAAUAUAGAAUAAAUGUAUAACAGUGACUGAGGCACGGCGUAGAGAGACAAUGAGCACUAGGUCAAAAAUGAAAAAAGAAAAUGAUGAUAAAUAAGGAAGAAUUUUUUUUAUACGUUUUUACGAGAUGAGCUAUUUAACUGUACGAGUCGAGUAUUUGAAUGGGUAAGUAUAAUUCGUAUAUACCUGCUCUAGCCACGCGCUAAAUCGAGAAUGAAUGAGAGUCGCGAGAGCCACGCAGACAAUCUUAGAACCUUCGAAUACAAAUGAACGACGAAUCGAAACCUCGUAGCGUGAUAUGCAAAUUCUCCAAGUACGAGAUAUAGAAACGACACAAAGAGUUCACAGGGAUAAGGUUGACAGUUAUUUAUAAAGAGGCAAACUUUAUCUUCUGUUACAGAGAAUUUGCAGACAAACCAAUGACGAUGGAACCAAUGAUUCCAACUCGCACAAUCGAGUUCGAGGUUUUCGAAACUGACCUGUUUGUCGGUUGGCGAUUUUUGUUAUAUAGUAUAAAUAUUUAUUUAUAUAUAUGUUGCAAAUUAUAUAUAUACAUAUAUGUAUUAUUGUUUGUAAUUUAAUGUCGAUUGAGAGAGAAGAUAUUUUGCGGUGUUUUCUGAGGAAUUGCAAGAAGCAAAGGAAAGGACGUUCCACGCGAACGUCCUCGACGAGUAUAUUCGUGCAUGCGAUGUUAAACGACAGUAAUACCAUCGUUUUAUUGUUUUCAGCAAUUUUGUUUUUUUUUGUUUUUGUAUAGACGACGGCUGCUCGCAGCUUGCGAGAGCAGUUGGCAGCACUGGCCGAUGGUCAAGUGCUGCGGUGGAGGACGCGUUCGAGCUUUCUUUGCUAAAAUUCCCAACGAAACCACCCGAAUUAGCCAAUAUUUCCAGGAUAAGCGUGAAACCGAGAGGAGAAAGGGAAUUUUCUUUCUCUUCGACGAAAUCGGUUUCGUCCUACUAUCGAUACCAAUGAAUAAACGACCAGCUGACACAGUCUUGCUCCAAGCUGCGACAGUCAGAAUUAUAGCAAAGAAACUUCCCUCGCCUAGAAAUCUUCGGAUACUCUUUUCGAUUGUUCCAAUAAAAGAAGAAAAAAGAAAAAAAAAAAAGAAGUAAUAAGAGAAAGAGGAGAAGAAGGCCAGAAUUGCGCUUGACUUUACUGGAAGCAAAUGGCGACGACGAAAAGAGGUCCGAAUCACCAUAGAUACGGGUUUUUGGAAUUCUAACGAAAGUAAAAUCGGGCCCACGAGCCCACGCUCCCGGUCCCCGUGGCAGUUUCAAGGAGAACGCCAACGAUCACGCGUUUCAGAACCGUACGCAAUUAGGGGACCGCGGAAUCGAGGUCGUCUUGCAUCUUCGAACUGAAACACCCGACGAAGAGACGCGAGACGCCCUUUUUCCUUCGAAGUUCCCACGAACUUCGCGGCUUUGACCGCAAUUUAUCAACGCAUAUCCGAUCGAUGCACUCUGAAAAUGGGCAAUCGUGAUCGAGCAACGAUGAUCCUCGUCGCGUACAAACUCGAUAAGAAAUUUAUCCGCGUAUUCGCCGACGAGGAUGGAGAAGAGUAUGCGAGAGGGUUGGAGUUCAGUGGAAACGCACCCUCGAGUGGCAUGAUUCGUCGAUAACCGCGAUCAUGCGGUCGAAUCGAGAGCAAAAUUUGCUGCUCGUCGAACGACGAAUAAAGAAAGGUCGUGAGAGACGACGGUGAGAGGAGAUGAUAAAGAAAUCAUAAAGAAAUGAAUAAUAAGAUGAUGAAGAGAUGAAUAUAAGAUGUCGAAGGGAGGGAGAGAUGAUUAAAAAAACAUGACGAAGGUGAAGGUGAUAAAUGAUUAUAAAAAUAGGGAUAAAAGGAUGAUGGAAAUGGUACCCGAUGGAAAUGAAUAAAUAAGCGUUCGAGUUGGAUUGACUUUUAACGAGAAUUCAAAGAUGAAUAUGAGAACGGGAGAACCUUAGGACGGCUUCCGUUGAUUCUACGAUUAAGAACGUUCUUCUUUUCCUGUAUUACGAGCAACGGAGCCGAUCGCUAAUCCGACGAUGGUGUUUCGUCGAUUUUAACCAACUAAGGAAAUGCUAACACGGUACGAUUAAGGAAACGGGAAUACGUGGUUCUUCGUACAUAUUCUCGUUGCUUCUAGUUGUCGCUUGAAGGAUUUCUUUUUCAUUGUUGUACGAUCGCGUAGAUCGUUUCGAUACGAUAUAACGGUACUGAUAGUUAGAAAAAUUAGUGGCCUUUCUUGGACGCGUACACGGUGUUCCAUUUUAACCGAACCUUGCGCCAGGAAAAUCGAAAUAACACACAGCAGGAGGAAGACUUUCUUAACCUCUAAAAGAUAAAAUUAACUUCUUAUCCUUCGUAAAAUAAAUAUUUGUUAAGUAUCGUUCAAAGCACAAGUGAUUUUCUUAGAAAUUUUACUCGAAUUUUCGAACCUCUUAAACUUUUUGAGUAUUCUUGUUUCCUAUUGAACGAUGAAGAUAGUAAUCGUGCGAUGGCCACCGUGAAUAAAACCCUCGCGAUUCGUUCGAAAUGGAACAGCCUGUACGCGGGCUUGUGUAAAACUCGAAUCAAAGGUUUUUCAUGUUAUCAUCAUCGAUAAUUGCUGAAUACUAAACGCUGCGAUUAUCCUGAUGGUUUUCCAAGCGAAUCGAUCUUCGAUAGGAAUAUUAAGAUUACGGUUUCGUCACGCAACCUUCGAUUCGAUCGGCUUCCAAUCGAGCACGAUCGUCCGAAAAUUCGCGUGACAGGGAAUAAUAGAUAGCGUGAGGAGUGAAGAAGAAUGACGAAAAAAUAAGAAUAAAAAAUAAAAAAAAAAAUAAUAAAAAGGAAAAAAGAAAUGUCGAAUUUUAUUUUUGUACGUCGUAGUGGUAAUUAAUGUUUCGUAACGAUACUGGCGAAUAUUUCACCAUAUGUUUUACACGAUAGAACGAAUUUUUUUUUUUUAGAUUUCGACAGUUUGUACGACACAAAUUUUACAAUUUACAAAUCUUCACGAUUUCGUGUAACCGACAGACUGAAAUUUAGAGCUCAAAACGAAUUUGUUUCUUGCAUUUUUACCUUCCGUGCCACACUCUAUUCUUUUCUCAAUUUGUAAAAGCACAGAUAUACGUAUUUGUAGUUGAUAGUUUGGCGAAAAUUACUACGGAAAAGAGGAAAAACGAUUUUUCGUAUCGUCGAUGACUGUAACCCGUAGAAUAAACGAUGGGGAGAAGAGAAAGUAAAACCAGUAGUGUAAAUAGCGUGUAAAAAAAUUGGAUCGAGCGAUAUUUUUUCCAUAAAAGGGGAUUUGAAAAAAAGGAAAAAACAAAAACACAGUGUAUAAACUAUGGAUUUUUCGUAGACAGGGGGAUAAAAUUAAAGAGCUUCGUUAGAGUGUAUAUGCAGUUAAUCUUGUGCUUCGAUGCGAAUCACGGAGAUCGUUCGAUUCUCCGACGAACGACGUAGCGAGAAAUCGGCUAGCCUAAUCGAUCCCGUGACUUGUCGGAAAAUCGGACGAUGGUGUUGGAGCUUCUCCGAGGAGAAACGAAGGUAGAGAGAAAGCGAGCGAUUACCAGAGUUUUGGCAGGCUCGAAGAACAUGGCACGAUGCUUAACGUGUAAGCGUUCGAGUUUGGCAGCUGAUCGACUCGAUCGAGAAGUAUCGUGCCGAUCUCUCGUCGCUAUCAAUGGCGGACCAAGCGUCGUUGCGAAAGGACGACAGAAGAAAAUAACGAAACGAUCGUUUUCGAACGGAGAAAUUCGCGAAUUUCUAAAGUCUCUCGGACUUGCGCGUUCUCCGUUGGCUAGAGGGUAAACGCAGAUGCGAACUUCCGGAGUGUGCACGGAGUUUAGGCAUCGAGUUUGAGCACUGUCCGUGCGUUGUGUUCAGAGGACGUGACCAUAGGAGGAUUAAGGCCUGAAAUCAGGCGAUUCGAGCUGAUCGAGGCAAAAUUGUAUAUUCGUAGGCAUGCUGCGUUACGAGGAGAGACGUCAGAGAUAUCUCGGCGAGAUACGGAGGUGAAGAGGAGAGGGAGGAAAAUGGAGAAAAAAUAGGGAGGAAAAUGGAGAAAAAAUAAGGAGGAAAAUGGAAAUGGGUUGCAGUGAAUGGUGGAUCGAGAAACGGUGUUUUCUAGAUAAUUUUGAGGGAUGCACCGUGACGAUCCACGCGAUUCGAUACGUUGUACUUACGUGUUCACGACACGACGACAAACGGUGACAUGACACGUGUACACAUACACACGAAAUUAACCACACACGUACACACACAGAGUAGAGGAACUUAUAAAUAGGUUUUAUUCUCUGCAUACCUGAUUUUUUAUUAAACAGAUUGUCCCGCGGGAUAGCGCGGUACUUUUCAUCGAGAUCUGCAAGACGACGACACCCUUAGGGGUCGUUGAUGUCGAAGAGAGGAAACGAAAGCGAGGACAGAGCGAUUUUCGUCGGCCAUAACGCGAUCCGUCAUAUCGUCCCUAGGAAUUAAUUGCUCUCUCGAAAUUACAAUUAUUCUCUCUCCACCUUGUUCUCGGAACUUUCUCAACGGAUCGCAAUUUUAAAUCAAGCGUGAGGAUUAAUCGUGGAAUUUGCGGAGCCGGGGCAAUAAUCCAGUUUUAAAUUAGCAAUAAAUAUUCCAUGUAAGUUCAAUGUGAUUUAAGAUCGGAAAUGUAUGUAUCUACUUGACGAUAAAAGUCGCUCUGCUUCCGCGAUCAUAGUGCUAGAACAUUAUCGCGCACCAUGCAGGAUCUGUCUCAGAAUAUACUACUUAAAGAAACAACGAUCAACAAACUCUGUGAAACCGAUCAAAUUCAUUCGAUCGACCAGUCGAUCCUUUAAAUAGCACAUUAUGAGACAACUUCCACGGUUUCGAGUCCUUGUUCGUCGAAUUUACGUUUCGCACUGAAGAACGUCGAGGUGGUUCUUCGAACGCUCGAAGACUCGCGAGGGUCGACGAGCACGAGGCCCGCCUCACCUGCCUACUUUACCUAUGAUAAUGUGUAUAAAGUACCUGAGAAAUCAAAAUAUUACUUAUAUAUUUAAAUAUAUAAAUACGAUCACGAGAAUGAUCCAGUUUUUUUCCUCCGUUUCAUCCGCAUUAUCGCUGCAUUGAACGAGCCUCUGCUCCAGAAUAGAACAAAAACGAAAAAAAGAUAAAAAAAGACGAGCAAAAAUGAUCGUGUCGUGCUUUGUACAGCUUGAUUUGUCGCGAAAUGUAUUCACCUUUGCGUUGCUGUAGCGGCUACUUAGAUUUAUACGUUGCAUGCGGUUUUUACCUUUAAACGAAAAUCAUGAUAUAAGGCGACGCGUGAACGCGUCGUUGUAUAUUGGGGAAAAAAUCUAAAAAAUGGAAAAAAAAAAAGAAAAAAAAAAUCAGUUACACGUUUAAAUUGCAGGAUCGAUGGUGAUUCGUCUGCAAAUUCUAUUACGAUAAUCGAUAUUUUUUACACCCCGCCCGCAGUUUCUCCUAUUUCGCUUUUAUACUUCGGCUUUAAAGAAAAUUUGGCAAAUUUUAUUUUUCUACGAAUUUCUCGUUUUUGAUUUCUCCUUAUGUUUCUACUUUUCUUUCCUCAAUGGAAUUUAAGUUUUUUUUUAAAAAAAAAGAAAAAAAGAAACCGCGGGCUUAUUUUGCGACAAAGCUAUCGAAUGUAUACUUUCGAGAGUAUGACGCCUGUUUGUGUCGCGCUUGAGUACACAAGCGACAUUAACCCUCCAUGAACCGUAUUAUUUUCCCUUUUUCGCUUUUCCGUGGUAUUAUGAAUCGGUAUGACUCGUGUAUUUCUUUUGUACUUUCCUUUUCUCGUCGAGUCACUUGUUUAUCGUUUAAUUACUGCGUCACGACAGGCGAUUUGGUUCAUGGAGGAUUGAAUUUGAUUGUAUCGGUAAGAUUUUAUUUGAAUUCCUAGAGAUCGCGAUCUAUUUCGAGCAUCGUGUAUUUUCUGCGUUAUUUUAUAGUUUGGCGCCGUAUGUCGAGCAUAAACUUACUGCAUAACCAUGAUUAUUGUAUCCCUCGAUCACCAUUCUCUUCGAUUUCUUUGAUAUCUUUAUUUUAGGUCAAUUUAUCGGUCCUUUGUAUUUCUUUUGCAAAUUCAUGUUUAUAAAUUUCGUCGAUUUACAGCGCCGAAUCGAUCGACCAUGGGGAGACACGUCCGUUCGACUGACAGUAUUUUCUUUUCGUCCUUUUUAGUUUUCAACGGAACAGUAUUCUUACGGAUUUUUAAGAACGCGUUUAAUUCGCGAGUAAUUUCAAUUUGGAUGGAGAACAUUUCAACUUUGAUUUACGCGGGAAAUUCGACUCGGGCGAAAGUGUCUUUCUACGGUCCUUUUAGCGUUUCUUAUUUCCUUUGUUGCAUAUGUACGUGUCCUUAAUUUUAUUUGCUCAGACUUGUGCGAUUUUGCCAUUCACACCGUAAGUCCCAUUUCAAAUG
rnacentral:misc_RNA from 1 species